UUUGUCUACUUUAAUCUCUCCAUUUCUGGUGCCCAUUCGAUCUUUAUUUCUGCCCAUCUCGUGCGAUGCAUUGCCGACAAGAAAAGGCGCAGCUGAUAAAAUGCUGAGGCCGGCUUCACGAACUGAGCACAUCAAGAUGCUCCCCUUAACUUUAUCCCUAUUUGCACGUUGAAUGAUGGCACAGGGACGAUAGGAAAUUAUUGUUUAGGUGCAGAUCACCAAUUGGUUACCAGUAUAAGGACAGCAUUGUUGGUGCAUUAGCUGUUACCUUUUCUUGCAACCUGCUCCGGUUGUAACCUCCCCUGCAGUUCCCUACUUCACUGGUCUAGUAGUACAGAUAACUAUAUAACAUCACCAAAUCUUACCAGGAAUAAACGGAUGGGAGGGUGGGUUCCUAGCGAUUCAAUUUUGCCAAGCAAAACCUGGUUGGUUGUGUCAAUUCACCCCGAAAGUCUGCUCUGAAAUGACCAUCCUAAAAUGCGUAGUUUACUAGCUAAGCCCAGUUAGGUGGUGUCUGUAGAAAAAAAGGUGAUGGAUGCAUUGCUCGGAAAAUUCCGAAGAAAGCUUAUCUCGUUUUGCAAAUUAGGAGAAACUUUCAACUAUGUGUAGCCAUCACCACUUGCUAGUACUCUGUAUUACCCUAAAGUUAAGCCUUUGAUUAACAAAUUGUCAAAAAGCUCCCCUCCUUUGUUAAAUAAAGGUGAGGACAGGGAAUGUCUUGGGAGUGCCAAACACUCUCUCACAUCACCAAUAAUGCACCAUAAAAAAUUCAUACAAUCAAUUGAGCCUCCCCCGUAUCAACACAGCCUUGGACAUUUGCAUCAGGAGAGUGACGUGGAUGGAGAAAAUUAUAAUGGCUUGUUGCUGGUGCCAUCUCAGUUUGCUCGGCUGAUUAUCAGUGAUAUGUCUACCUGCCUUUCUGCCAAAGUAAAGAACUAUUCAGAACACUGACCAUUGGUCGAUGCAUUGAAUUAGACCACAACUUGAUGAAGAACAAAAUUACACAAGAUUCAGUUUUCUGAAGGUUAGUAACUGAAAAACCAUAGGAAAUAUUUGCCAGUUCAUUCUAUGUUUAUGUCAUCCCAUACAAUCCUAAGAAGUUCUGUCAGGUAGAUUAAUAUAUGUUUUAGUCUUAAGCAAAUAACAGGAACAAAGAUCUGAUUAUCUGAAUAUAAGGAAAUCAAAUAGAACUCGAUAUUGAUAUUUCAGCUUUGGAACUAAGAGCUAUUACUUGGAAGUGAUACUUAAACACUGUAACAGCAGGCAUUAGUAAUCUUCAUGUUGUGCAGCUGAACUGUUGAACUUGGACAGUCAAAAUUGCAGCUUAUAGCUUUAAUCAUCGUUUUCCUUCAGACACUCAUGUUGGAAACCACAGCAUAGGAUGGAGAGCCCAGCUGAAGGGCAGCUGGAUAGGCAGAAUCCAAGGGCCAAAAAGAUUCGUGGCCUGGUGCCCCUUAGCAUGCAGCUUCGACGAAGCUGCAACCAGCAAGUAAACAAAUGAAAGGCCAUUUGCAAAGUAUAGGACUGGUGGGUGGUGGCUAAUGGAUGUCUUGAGAUAACUGCAUUCUACCAUGCACACAAAUAGAGAUCCAUCAACAAAACCAAGAACGAGAAGGGUGGCGUCCAAGCAACAUGAAGCUGUUCCACGCAAGUGGGAGGUUUCUCCUUGUCCCCAAAUGUGAAGUGAUAUUGUUUGCCAGGUUGCAAUCAAUCCAAUUUACAAUCACAUACCAAUUAUCUUUCUGACUUGUUUGGCCCCCAUUGCCUGGUGCAGCGGUAGAGCCUACCGUCUGUAACCGGAAGGUCCCAGGUUCGAGCCCCAGCCUCUGCACAUUUGUGUGGGUAAGGCUUGGGGCUUAAAAACAACCCUUCCCCAGACCCCGCACAGUGCAGGAAGCCUACGGCACUGGGCACGCCCUUUUACUUGUUUGGCCCCCAUUGCACCACUGACUCUUCUUGUGGCCUUAUCCCUGCCCUUUGGCUAUAAAAGUAGACUCAGCCUCACUCCCCUCUUUGCACCAGCACUGCUGUGUUCCUGUUUCCCCUUCUUCUAGGGUUAGAAAAUAAGAUGAGGGUUCAAGCUGUGUUGUGCAGAAGUGAGCUCAGUGCUAUGACAUGAAAUUCAAGAUCUGAUCUAUACAGCCAGGUUUUGCAUCUGGGGGCAGCAAGCUAGAGGCGGCAACUGCAUAACUUGCGAUAAACUUGUUGGACCAUGGUCGUGCCGAUGAUUUUACCGCAAGUUAUGCAGUUGCUGCCUCAAGCUUGCUGCCUCCCUUUGCCAAACCAGCAGGGAUCAGAUGAAAUUCAUUCAUAUAGAGACCUUCCCUUCCAUAACCAUGUAUUGUAGUUUUAUCCUGAGAGAUCAAAGAGAAGAGUGAUGCCAGAAAGCUUUGUACGAGCUAUCAGUUUUUUUUGGCAAAACUAGCUUGCUAGCUGUUCAUGUAUUGUUACGUUGUUGUCCCCCAUUGCUGAAAACCUAAUGGAAUACUUAUGUUGCCGAGUUUGUUU